rnacentral:rRNA from 1 species
UACGAAGGGGGCUAGCGUUACUCGGAUUGACUGGGCGUAAAGGGCGCGUAGGCGGUUUGUACAGUCAGACGUGAAAUUCCUGGGCUCAACCUGGGGGCUGCGUUUGAUACGUGCGGACUUGAGUUCGGAAGAGGGUCGUGGAAUUCCCAGUGUAGAGGUGAAAUUCGUAGAUAUUGGGAAGAACACCGGUGGCGAAGGCGGCGACCUGGUCCGAUACUGACGCUGAGGUGCGAAAGCGUGGGGAGCAAACAGG